AUGACAGGAAAAGAGGAAGCAAUAAAAUGGUGUUGGGCAUUUUGUCUCAACAACGAGAAAGUAACUAAGGAAGUCAUGGUUCAGUCAGUUAUGCUGGAGGAGUCCAAGGCCCUGGGAUGCUGUAACAUGAAGCUGGAUCUGGAGCAGGCCAGAGGGAGUGCGAGGUGCUGAAGAAGAUCUGGGGCUUGGGCCAGGGCAUGGACUCCACGUUAAAGUACUUGCAGAGGAAAAUUGAUGAAGUUUGCUUUGCAGCCACAUGUGGAUGACACUAGAACUUGUUUGAGUAGGACAUUAGUGGCUCCCAGUUGGCAUAAUCCAUCCCCUAGUCUGAAACACAUUCACCUGUCGUUCAUCCUUGGAAGCAGGACUGGAAACAUCCAAGCUACUCAUUUCUGAGUUUUAAGUCCUAUAUCUUUAAAAUAAAUAACUACAAAGCUCCUUUUUACAAAUAUCAUUAUUUUACACUUACAUGCAUACAACUAUAAAAGCAUAAUGGUAAGCAAUAGACGGCUUGUGGAAGCUCCGAUUUUCUGUCCUUUGGCUAGUACUGUAUUAAAAAAAAACAAUUGUGUUUUACUCAUCUGGGUGAAAGAAAAGUCAGGAAUAAUAUCUCUUUUCCUCAGUUUUUCCUAAUAAAGGGGACUAGCCAGCUUCACCUUCCCUACCCUAAAUAGAGAUACAAAGAUAUCUGGGAUAUUUCCUUAGUCUCCAAGGAAGGAGGUACAGGUACUUUAGAGAUGGACAAUUCUAAAUCAAAAUUAAAACUUACCUUUUAGGAAAGAUCUUUCUGAUAAACAGUCUCAGCAAGCACUUAAGAUUCAUGCUGAGAUAGCAAUGGGUUUUCCCUUUUUUCCUAAUAUAUCCGGUUCUGACGCAGUGAACUUGCAGAAACUACUGUCUCUCUAGAAGAAAGCACAUUUUGUUUGCAGUAUUAGUGAAAGACUGACUAAAUUAAGUAUGAAUCUCUAAGUUAUAAGUUAGUCUUAGUGGGUUUUAAAUAGUUUUUGUGACUCUUGAAAAAUAAACUCCAUUAAGUGCUUCUUGUUGCUGGGUGAGAAAUACUACUUUAUAUACAGUUUUGGUUUUCUAUCUGUAGAUAUGAUUAAUGUAUUACAUAAAAAUAUUUUUAUGUUUAUAAAGUCUAAUUUUUAGGUUCAUUUAGAAUAUAUUUUAUUUAAUAAGUUAAACUUCUUUUGGCACACAAAUAUAGAAACUCCUUUCUAAACAAAAAGAACUACCUUGUAUUUGACACAUGUGUUCUUGGUGCCUGCUUUUAUGUGUGUGUCAUACACUGAAUACAGCAUGGGUCUGAAAGUGCCCUGUGUGAACUGGCACUGCAUUCCCUGUAGGAGUGGGGACUGAUUCCUGGCUAUAGGCAUUGUGAAUAGGUAGGCUUCUGGAUUUGCGAUCAUAUCGAAUGGAUGAAGAAUGAAAUAAAAUCAAAACCUUAUUUUUGUACAGUUUUGAAAUUUAUACUUAGGAAUGACCAACUCCCUGGCUAUAUGGAGUGCUAUACAAUGUGUAAAUCUGCUUUUACCAUGGAUUGAUUGGUAUGGAAUUUUUGUGUCUGUGGGACCUACUUUUUUGUUCAAUUUGAACUAUAUGUAAACUGUACAACCUGUGAAAUUUUUAUAGAGUAAACAUUCAGCUGUGAAAAUUGAUUAAAUAAACUAGUAUUUCUUAACCCCC
rnacentral:lncRNA from 1 species